rnacentral:rRNA from 1 species
AUUGAACGCUGGCGGCAGGCCUAACACAUGCAAGUCGAGCGGAUGUAGGGAGCUUGUUCCUGGAUUCAGCGGCGGACGGGUGAGUCAUGCCUAGGAAUCAGCCUGGUAGUGGGGGAUAACGUCCGGAAAAGGGCGCUAAUACCGCAUACGUCCUGAGGGCGAACGUGGGGGAUCUUCGGCCCUCACGCUAUCAGAUGAGCCUAGGUCGAAAUAGCUAGUUGGUGGGGUAAAGGCCUACCAAGGCGACGAGCCGUAACUGGUCUGAGAGGAUGAUCAGACACCCUGGAACUGGCACACGGUCCAGACUCCUACGGGAGGCGGCAGUGAGGAAUAUUGGACCAUGGUCUAAGACCUGCUCCAGCCAUUCCGCGUGUGUGAAGAAGGUCUUCGGAUUGUAACGCACUUUCAGUUGGGAGGAAGCGCAGUAUGUUAAUACCUUGCUGUGUUGACGAUACCAACAGAAUAAGCACCGGCUAACUUCGUG